UUAUUCAGUGACUGAAAAGCAAGUAAUGGUCUCUUAAACCAGAUAAUGGUAAAUGCACUUACCCUGAAUA
rnacentral:tRNA from 1 species